AAGCAUUUGGGAGAAAAUGAAUAGGUUCCGGGGGAAAUGACCAAAAAGAUUACUCAAAUAAGGGAAAAGAUGGCAACUAUGCCGCCCUCCUAGAGCGGAAGUACUUAUGACUACGAAGAGUUCUCCGAACUACAUUUCCCAGAGUGCAUAUGCACAGUUUUUCUGGAGCGUGGAGUGUCUCGGACGCCAGGCGGUCCUGGGCUACAUUGUCCCAGAAUGCAAUAGAGAUGUCUAUUUAGGACAAAAUAUUUGAAAUUAGAUCUCCAAAAUGAAAGGGUCGCCGAAGAAGCGGGGACACACGGACGUUCAAACAAGCUUUAUUGGGGCGGCAGUCUGCAGCCUGCCGGGCUGACUCACAGAAUGGAGACCAGCAACUGCAUGGGCUGAGCUGGAAGCUUAUAUAGGGAUCUUGCAGGUGGGAGAGCAUUAGUCCAUUGGUGGGGGUGGGUGAUUGGGCUGGGGUAUGUAGCAACAGGUUUCGGUCAAGGGGGAUGGAGUCACCGCUUUCAGGAAGCCCCUAUCUUACUGGAACAUCUGACCACGAAACCGAAACCGGUGGGGCAGAAAGACCUUAACUAGGCAGAGAGUCACUAACAAAGGGAGCUCUUGCCUUAGUUAUGCGGAAGUUCCCUGUUCCCUGUGGCCCGAGUGGGUCAAGGGGAAAGAAGAGGAGGGGGCUUGCUCUGUGGGGGCUCUGAAAUACCUAACACAAAAUAACCAAAUAUUUACUGGCUAUGAUUAUUAAAUAUUGUUCUAUACUAGUGCUCUAUUCGUUUAUAUUGUAUGUUACUGAACUCAUGGAAAAUCAUAUCAUUUCCCCUACACAUCAUAAUUCUUUUUUUUUUUUUUUUUUUUUUGGUACCCGGGAUCGAACUUGGGACGUUGGCGCUUGUGAGGCAGGCAGCGGCACCACUGAGCUAAACCACCGGCCCAAAGGAUGCAGCAACAAGGCACCAUCACAGAAGCAGAAAGCAGCCCUUACCAGACACACAACCAGCCAGAGCCUUCAUUUUGAACUCCCCCACCUCCAGUACAGCGAUAAAUAAAUUUCUAUUGUUUAUAAAUUACCCAGUCUGCGAUAUUCUGGUAUAGCAACACAAAUGGCCUAAGAAAUAAGGGAUCAAACUCGGGACCUUGCGCUUGCGAGGCAGGCUGCGGAACCACUGAGCUAAGUCCCCGGCCCAGAUUUUUACAAUCUAAUGCUGAACUAACUUAGUAAAUCAUGUGUAACAGGCAUAGGACUCUUGCAACCUUGCACCUGAUUUUCCCCAGACUACAUCCAAUGAGCAUUUUCCCUUUGCUAGUUUACUUUGUAUCCUUUCACUCUAAUAUCAUUAUAGUGAGAUAUCAGUCAUGAGUAUGAAAAAAUAGGGUGUCUUGAGUCCUCUUUGUGAAUGACAGAAUGUAGAGGUGGUCUUGGGAACAACUCAUGCACCAUGCAAAUUGAGACAGCAUGAACCUUAAUAGGUACUGAGCAUUAUGCAAAGAGAUGCUCCCGAAAAUCAAGUGGGGGAACUGGUCUCCCGACUAGAUGUAACUGAUCGAGUAAAGCUCUUUAUUCAACUACACUGAAAAUAUCACAAUCAUGU
rnacentral:lncRNA from 1 species